GCUCUUUCCAACUUCACCAGUGACCUUGGACGCCUCUGCUAAACAAGGUGUCUCUGUUGAAUUUCCUGAUUCUGGGGAUAAACGUGGCUAUUCACUUUCUAACUCUACGGAGGUCAUCUUCAUCAAGAACUUUCCACCUGCCUCAGGUCUUGGGAGAGCCAAUCACUGCCCAUUUAUAUGUGUUACCCAGUGAGCUGUGCACCAUUAUCAUCCUCUUUUUACAGAUGAAGAAAUUGAGGUCCAAGGAUGAUUAAUAAAGUUCUGGCCAGCUGUGUUCUGGCCAGCUGUAUGACCUUGGACAAGAUACUGAACUUGGCUAAGUGGAUUGUCCUCAUCUAUAAAACGAGGACAUACUUUGCUAUCUGCCAGAAGACUUCAAGGCUUGAAUGCGGCAGCAUCUGUGGAGCUCUUUGUUAACUGCAAAGCCUCUUGUACUGUAAAGUAUUAAUGAACUGCCCAUUCUACUCCCUAAUGUAUGUACUUUUACCGCUGGUUGUGAUGUCACACAAUCCACUAUCUCAGAUAGGCUUCCGUUAUUUCUUUAAUGCACUGCACAGCCAAACAUCUGUCCCUGGCUUCUUCGUGUCUUCCUGGGGGGCAGAUCUCUUUAGUCUGCUCCUGGCUAAAGGCUAUUGUUAGAGAAAGUACAACUUGCUUUUUCUGAAACCAAAGACAUUUCAGCUUUGAAUUCCUAGUCAUUAUGCUAUUUAUUGAUUGUGCACAUGUUUAUUGUGCCUAUUCUGUCAGACCCUGUUCUCAGCACUGAGAUUUGGUCACCUGAUAGAUGUCUUCUGUUUGCCCCUGCAGAUCUGGACUCCAGCCUUCUCCAGUCUGCUCUUUACCCCCAGAGGCUGAUCUGUGGGGACUGCUGGCUCCCUUUAGGGUUCAGUUCCAGAAAGGGUCAGCAGGCAGUUUAAGGGAUGGUUGGAGGGAGGGAGUUAAGGCAUGUAUUUUCCAGGCUCCCUUCUAAAGAGAGACCAUGGGCCAGCAGUACCCUUCCACUAUAGGUCCUCUCUCUUGUUGUUGGUCCUCUCCAACAGCCUCUCAUUCUCUGGGCUCCAGUGCCCUUUAGGCCGAGAAGUGACUCAGGCCCUGAGUGCUGUACUGCCCCUGUGCGACAGAAGUCAUGCAGUAGUCCCUUGGUAAAUGGUCUCUUAUUAAACUUUCUCCAGCUACUCAUCUGCUUCCUGCUGGGGCCCUGGUAGAUUUAAGCAAUAAACAAGAUGUAGAAGACCUUGCUCUUUAUGGGACUUACAUCCUGGAGGGGAAGAUAGAUAAUUAACAAACAACAAUAAGCAAAAUAAUAAUCAUAAUAAAUAGUGAUAUUACCUUUGUGAAAAGAGAAGUUUAUUUGAUAGAAAGAAUCUAGGGUGUUGGGCAAGGUACAAUGUUAGACAGGGUAGCAGGAAAAACUUUUUAAAAUUUUUUUCAAUGU